rnacentral:rRNA from 1 species
CAAUAGCGUAUAUUAAAGUUGUUGCGGUUAAAAGCUCGUAGUUGGAUUUCUGCUGAGGACGAUCGGUCCGCCCUCUGGGUGAGCAUUGACUCGGCCUUGGCAUCUUCUUGGAGAACGCUACUGCACUUGACUGUGUGGUGCGGUAUCCAGGACUUUUACUUUGAGGAAAUUAGAGUGUUUCAAGCAGGCGCACGCCUUGAAUACAUUAGCAUGGAAUAAUAGGAUAGGACCUUGGUUCUAUUUUGUUGGUUUCGAACACCGGAGUAAUGAUUAAAAGGGGCAGUCAGGGGCACUCGUAUUCCGUCGAGAGAGGUGAAAUUCUCAGACCAAUGGAAGACGAACCACUGCGAAAGCAUUUGCCAGGGGAUGUUUUCACUGAUCAAGAACGAAAGUUAGGGGAUCGAAGACGAUUAGAUACCAU